ACAAACUUGGUCAUUUAGAGGAAGUAAAAGUCGUAACAAGGUUUCCGUAGGUGAACCUGCGGAAGGAUCAUUAUCGUAUUUCAAUCGGGGAGGUUCGGGUCGGCCCUGCACCGGCGGAGACGCCGUGCUGCGGGCCCCCGGCCGCCCUUCCACACCAAACCCCUGUGCACCUUUUGGGAAGGCGCGAAAGCGUCGGCCCCUUUCUCACAAGCUCUGCUUCUAAAGAAUGAUCAGCGGGCGUAUGCCCGUCUAAAACAUGUAACAACUUUCAACAACGGAUCUCUUGGCUCUCGCAUCGAUGAAGAACGCAGC
rnacentral:misc_RNA from 1 species